rnacentral:rRNA from 1 species
GACGAACGCUGGCGGCGUGCUUAACACAUGCAAGUCGAACGGAAAGGCCCUGCUUUUGUGGGGUGCUCGAGUGGCGAACGGGUGAGUAACACGUGAGUAACCUGCCCUUGACUUUGGGAUAACUUCAGGAAACUGGGGCUAAUACCGGAUAGGAGCUCCUGCUGCAUGGUGGGGGUUGGAAAGUUUCGGCGGUUGGGGAUGGACUCGCGGCUUAUCAGCUUGUUGGCGGGGUAGUGGCUUACCAAGGCUUUGACGGGUAGCCGGCCUGAGAGGGUGACCGGCUACAUUGGGACUGAGAUACGGCCCAGACUCCUACGGGAGGCAGCAGUGGGGAAUAUUGCACAAUGGGCGGAAGCCUGAUGCAGCAACGCCGCGUGCGGGAUGACGGCCUUCGGGUUGUAAACCGCUUUCGCCUGUGACGAAGCGUGAGUGACGGUAAUGGGUAAAGAAGCACCGGCUAACUACGUG